rnacentral:rRNA from 1 species
UACGUAGGGGGCGAGCGUUGUCCGGAUUUAUUGGGCGUAAAGAGCUCGUAGGCGGUUCGGUAAGUCAGAUGUAAAAACUCCAGGCUCAACUUGGAGAGGCCAUCUGAUACUGCCGUGACUAGAGUCCGGUAGAGGAGCACUGAAUUCCUGGUGUAGCGGUGAAAUGCGCAGAUAUCAGGAGGAACACCAGCGGCGAAGGCGGUGCUCUGGGCCGGAACUGACGCUGAGGAGCGAAAGCGUGGGGAGCGAACAGG